AGGAAACCUCCUUUAUGGUGAAAAGGGCUGAGCUGUAAACUCAGUAGCUGCGGCUUUUAAGAGUUCGAGUCUCUUGUUUCCUA
rnacentral:tRNA from 1 species